rnacentral:rRNA from 1 species
UACGAAGGGGGCUAGCGUUGCUCGGAAUCACUGGGCGUAAAGGGUGCGUAGGCGGGUCUUUAAGUCAGGGGUGAAAUCCUGGAGCUCAACUCCAGAACUGCCUUUGAUACUGAAGAUCUUGAGUUCGGGAGAGGUGAGUGGAACUGCGAGUGUAGAGGUGAAAUUCGUAGAUAUUCGCAAGAACACCAGUGGCGAAGGCGGCUCACUGGCCCGAUACCUGACGCUGAGGCACGAAAGCGUGGGGAGCAAACA